ACUAUUCAGUUGGGAUAAUUAAAUAUAAAUGUCCUAAAAAUCGUAAGAGAAUUAGAGACCAGUUGCUCCUUCCUCUUACCUCUGCAACCUCGCUGGCUCCGCCGCCAGAAAUCGCCUCACGGCGGCGGCCGACGUUCAAUGAUGCCCAAAAUAACACCAUGGCUCUCCUUCGCUUCACCAGUCCGAACCCAGCUUUAGUUUCUUUCAAAUCCCACCCAACUCUCCAAAUAAUCCAAACCCUAACACCGCCACCACCAUACACGGCGCCGCCGCCAUCCAAACAUCACCAAAUUAACACUAUCGAUUCGCCUCUAUCGCUACAUCACUGACCCACCUUCCCUUUCCUCCAAAUAUUCCCCAAACCUCUCGAAUGUAAGUUUGUAAAACUGAAAUAUUGUCAAGGUCAUCUUCUUCUCUGAUUUGGGGUACAAUUUCGCUACGACUUGAUGUUAUCUAACUAUUCACGAUAAGAGUGGUUAAUUGAUAUCACGUCGUGGCCGAAAUUGGGAAAGCAAUAGAGUCCGAGUUUGAAGGUUUGAGUUCCAGGUCAAUUGGUAAGUUCUUCAUGUUUCUGCCCAUUUUCUUUCUUCUCCAUCUUGCAUUAUAUUAAGUUAUGUUCUUGAGGUUUAAUCUGUAUUUCAUUUAGGGUUACUUGGAUCAAUAUAAAUUUUAUAUUUUCUGUUUAGUCGUUUAAUCGAAUUAGUGUGAGUUUAGAUUAAUAAUUAGUAUGUCUGUUUCUGUUUAGUAUAGUUAACAGUUGGUUUGUUGAUUUGAGAAUCUAACAAUUGAUCAUUAGUUUAUUUUCUUUUGGUUCGUUUAAGUCAUUCUGGUGUGAUGGUUUGUUUUAGCACAUCUUUGGCUAUUUGUGAUUAAUUUAGUUUGGUUCAGUGGUUGUAGUUAAUAAGAACUUGGUGUAAUGCUUAGUUCAAUUAGUUGUUAAUUAGCUGAAUUUGGCUAUAAUGGAUAAAUUUAAUUAGGGUAAAAUAGGACUGAAUUUAUUUGGGACUAGGUUAGUCAUUUCAGAUGAGGGUCAGGGACAUUUUGGGUAUUCUUAGAUAGAAGGAAUAUUGUAGAUCACACUAUAAUAGCUUAGACCCUUCUAAAAUAGGACCUUAGUGCAUAUUUUACAACUUAGGGGUGUAACUUAGGUAACAAGUUAGAAAUCAAGGGAUUAGUUGAAUAAAGAGGGAGGGACCUAUAGUGUAAACACAAAAUCUGAGGGCUGCCCUCUUUUGCCUAUAAAAGGCAUUGAAUAAUGCCUUAGCACACAAGUUUUUGGCCUUCAAAAUCACCCCAAAAAUACUUUCUCACUUCCAGAUCUGAAAUUUGAAAGUUCAGAAACCAAAAAAUAAAAUAAAAUUGAAAACAGUAGAAAAAUCCAAAAAAAUAUUCUAUUUUCAUCCAGUUUCGAAGUUCAUUUCUAAUUUAGUAGCUGAUUUGCAUCUCUUAGGUCGUUUUCUAGUGAUUUGAAGUUUCUGAAGAGUUUUCAGUUGAUUUCUAGUAAUUUUUGGGUUCAAUUAGUUGGUUUUAGUUAGUUUAUUGGGUAUUUGAUUGCUGAAGUGCUCUUGAGUGUUCAAUGAUUUGGUUUUGAUUCGAAAUGACAUCCUGUUGUUGUUCUAUCAGUUGAUUCCUUGUUGGGCUGUUUGAAUUAUGUCUGAACUACUUCUGCUUGUCAUCUACUGUGCUUGACCUCACUCUCCUUCUUAUUUUUGCAAUUUCCAGGUACACUUCAUGUUUCAUUGAUAUGUAAAGUUGAGGAAGUGAAACGAAAUGGAAGAUGGUUUGAGCUUAAGUGUCGCCUAUUCUCUGCUCAUUGCAUUACUAUAGUUAGUGUAGCUUAGAUGUCUGGAAUGUUUAAUUCAUCUAGAAUUGCACGAGUUUAUUGAAUUGUGGAUCAUGAGACUUUAGGAUCGUUAGAUAAAAAAUAUCCCCAAUCAUUUCAUGAUGUGAUUUUGUUGUGUAAGUGAUAUUGAAAUCGGGGAUAGCUGGAAUAACAUGAAUUUCGAAUGCACUAUCAGUGUUAAGUAGUGAGUUUUUAUCAAAUUUCAAGUUUGCUUAAAAUUAGAUUUGGGUUGAUAGAUGACUCGUUGGUUGUUGAAUUAAUAAUUGUCGCUAAAUUGUUUUGAAUACGAGAGUUAAUUGACAUCACAUUCCUGUUCUAAAAUAAUCAUCAGCCUCCCCAUCUUUGUCGAAUUGCUAAUAUUGGAUGAAUAUUGUUUUCAUCGCGUAAUCUAGAGCAAAGAACCGGGCCAGCAUUGGCCAAGACAUUCAGGCCCAAGGUUGUUGUCCGAUAUGGGUGUGUUGCUAAUAUCUAUGACUGACGUGCAUUAUAUGGUUUGUUCCUUUUGGGUCCAAAAGUGAAAUGAC
rnacentral:lncRNA from 1 species